rnacentral:misc_RNA from 1 species
ACAACCAGUUCAAUCCCUUUCGCGAAGUAUUUGGGGGAGGGGUUGGUUAUUGGUGGAUGAGGAGUUGUAUGCAUCGUGCUGAAUCAAUCACCUCACCACCGAAAUUCAGAGGCGGUAUGUCCCCACGUGUUUGUGGCGUUGUAAAGUCACACCAGCACAAUUCGCUCGCAUCGUGGGUGCACAGCUUGCCAUUGGAGAAAUCCCCAUUCAUCAAA